UACGGGGGGGGCAAGCGUUGUUCGGAAUUACUGGGCGUAAAGGGCUCGUAGGUGGCCAACUAAGUCGGACGUGAAAUCCCUCGGCUUAACCGGGGAACUGCGUCCGAUACUGGUUGGCUUGAGUUUGGGAGAGGGAUGCGGAAUUCCAGGUGUAGCGGUGAAAUGCGUAGAUAUCUGGAGGAACACCGGUGGCGAAGGCGGCAUCCUGGACCAACACUGACACUGAUGUGCGAAAGCCAGGGGAGCAAACGGG
rnacentral:rRNA from 1 species